AAACCAACAGGGAUUGCCCUAGUAACGGCGAGUGAACAGGCAAGAGCUCAGAUUUGAAAGCCUCUCGGGGCAUUGUAUUCUGAAGCCUUGAUUCUGAGAACCGGUACCUAAGUCUUCUGGAAAGGAGCGCCAAGGAGGGUGAUAGCCCCGUACGGUACUGACCUCAUUGUAGAAUCUUGGCGUGGAGUCGAGUUGUUUGGGAAUGCAGCUCAAAUGGGUGGUAUGCUCCAUCUAAAGCUAAAUAUCUGCGAGAGACCGAUAGCGAACAAGUACUGUGAAGGAAAGAUGAAAAGAACUUUGAAAAGAGAGUGAAAAAGUACGUGAAAUUGUUGAAAUGGAAGGAUAGGCCGCUAACCACGUAGAGCCGUGUCUGAGGGGAGGAUAAAAGCUGUAGAAUGUGGCUCUUCGGAGUGUUAUAGCUGCAGUGCAUACUCCCACUCGGGCGCGAGGACCUAAGGCUCUGCUAAAUGGUGGUCUAUCAC
rnacentral:rRNA from 1 species